rnacentral:lncRNA from 1 species
GGUAUUUUGGUAAUUUCGUAGGACGCACCCCAAAAUUAGUAGGGUGGCAAAAGUAAAGCUCUUGUCCAAUGACAAAAAAAGGGCCAAGUAAAAAGUGGAAAUGUUGGUCUUUGUCCAUCAUAAUCCAUUAUAUUUAAGUAGUGGACAACAUUUUUCUCUAAAAAAAAUUUAUUUUUACUCAUCCGCUACUUAACUCACCCUGCAAACACGGAUCCUUAAUCAUGGCAAUACAUUGAAAAAGUGAAUUUAAAACUAUCAAAUUAAAUUUAAAGACUUCAUACCAACACACUAAAGUUAACCUUACUUAGCAAACAUAAGAGCCAUAAACCUAAUAUAAAUCACAAACAGUAUAAGCAUGAAUUCUCAAAAAAAAAAAAGAAGACAAAUGACCAAGAUUAAAGAAAUGUGAACACACCAAUGAGUGAAGCCUAUUGCAAGUGAGUUCUCUAAAGAACUUGAUUCGUAGGUGACAUAAUGCUAAUCUUAUCCCCUUUGUUAACAAUGCUCACAAGGCUGGAAAGGAGAAUCACAAACAAUGAUUUGUUCCAAUAAAAGAUAACUCCUUUGGAACUAUAUAUUAGAAACAAAAAUAAAAUCGGUACAAAAUCAUUAUGUAAUUUAGUAUAUAUAUUAAUUAGUAAAUAUAUUUAUUACCGUUCAGAAUUGACAUUUCACAGGAUUAUAAUUUCAUCCCAUCUAACAUUAAGAACCAAAACAACAAGUUAAUAAAAACGUCAGUAACUAAAAAGACGACCGAAGAGGAGUUACAAAUUACUACUAAUGAUGAUUUGAAAUUGCAUGUAAAUAAAUAUAAUAAUUUGAAAAGAGAAAAAGGGGAAUUAAAUGAAAAUCAAAUCAAAACUAAAUGCAUGAAUGAUAAAUUUCAUUAUUCAUUAAAA